GCUUGAUUUGACGAACAAUGAGGGAAGAACACUCGAAUUGGUUCUCUAGGUGGGAAGAGGAGCUUCCAUCUCCAGAUGAAUUGAUGCCUCUUUCUCAAACCCUAAUAACCCCCGAUCUAGCUUUGGCCUUUGAUAUUCAGAAUCCCAGCAAUAGCAGUCCGCCGUUGCCUUGUCCAUCUCCGCCGCUUUCGAAUCCUCUGCCUGGCUCUG
rnacentral:misc_RNA from 1 species